AGUGAACGCUGGCGGUAGGCCUAACACAUGCAAGUCGAACGGCAGCACAGUAAGAGCUUGCUCUUACGGGUGGCGAGUGGCGGACGGGUGAGGAAUACAUCGGAAUCUACUUUUUCGUGGGGGAUAACGUAGGGAAACUUACGCUAAUACCGCAUACGACCUACGGGUGGAAGCAGGGGAUCUUCGGACCUUUCGCGUCUGAAUUAGCCGAUGUCGGAUUAGCUAGUUGGCGGGGUAAAGGCCCACCAAGGCAACGAUCCGUAGCAGGUCUGAGAGGAUGAUCAGCCACACUGGAACUGAGACACGGUCCAGACUCCUACGGGAGGCAGCAGUGGGGAAUAUUCGACAAUGGGCGCAAGCCUGAUCCAGCCAUACCGCGUGGGUGAAGAAGGCCUUCGGGUUGUAAAGCCCUUUUGUUGGGAAAGAAAAGCAGCAGGUUAAUACCCCGCUGUUUUGACGGUACCCAAAGAAUAAGCACCGGCUAACUUCGUG
rnacentral:rRNA from 1 species